AGCUAGUGUGGCAUAGUGGUUUGAGUGUUAGACUACAACUCUGGAGACCAAGGUUCGAUUCCCAUCUUGGCCA